rnacentral:rRNA from 1 species
CAGUCGAACGAAGACUGUAGUAAUACUGUCUUAGUGGCGAACGGGUGAGUAACGCGUGGGUGACCUGCCCCGAAGUGUGGGAUAACAGUCCGAAAGGAUUGCUAAUACUGCAUAAUAUCCAAGAGAUUAGAUGCUUUUGGAUUAAAGGAGUAAUUCGCUUCGGGAGGGGCCCGCGUCCCAUCAGCUAGUUGGUAAGGUAAUGGCUUACCAAGGCGAUGACGGGUAGGGGACCUGAGAGGGUGGCCCCCCACAAUGGAACUGAAACACGGUCCAUACACCUACGGGUGGCAGCAGUAGGGAAUAUUAGUAAUGGGCGAAAGCCUGAACUAGCAACGCCGCGUGUGCGAAGAAGGCCUUCGGGUCGUAAAGCACUUUUUGAGAGGAUGAGGAAGGACGGUACUCUCAGAAUAAGUCUCGGCUAACUACGUGCCAGCAGCCGCGGUAACACGUAGGAGGCAAACGUUAUCCGGAUUUACUGGGCGUAAAGCGCGUGUAGGUGGUUUGGUAAGUAGGGCGUGAAAGCUCCUGGCUCAACUGGGAGAGGACGUUCUAAACUGCCAAGCUUGAGGAUGGUAGAGGGAGGUGGAAUUCCGGGUGUAGCGGUGGAAUGCGCAGAUAUCCGGAGGAACACCAGUGGCGAAGGCGGCCUCCUGGACCACUCCUG